GCCUCGUUAGCGCAGUAGGUAGCGCGUCAGUCUCAUAAUCUGAAGGUUGUGAGUUCGACCCUCGCACGGGGCA